CCUACGGGAGGCAGCAGUGAGGAAUAUUGGUCAAUGGGCGGGAGCCUGAACCAGCCAAGUCGCGGGAGGGAAGAAGGUACUGAGUAUUGUAAACCUCUUUUGCCAGGGGCCAAAGGCGGCCACGGGUGGCCGUAAGAGGGUACCUGGAGAAACAGCAUCGGCUAACUCCGUGCCAGCAGCCGCGGUAAUACGGGGGAUGCGAGCGUUAUCCGGAGUUAUUGGGGUAAAGGGGUGGGCAGGGGGCGUGUCAAGUCCGCGGUAAAAUGUCGGGGCUAAACCCCGGCCUGCCGUUGAAACUGGGGGGCUGGAGUGGGAGAGAAGUACGUGGAAUUCGCGGUGUAGCGGUGAAAUGCGUAGAUAUCGGGCAGAACCCCGAUUGCGAAGGCAGCGUACCGGCUCCACACUGACGCUGAGGCACGAAAGCGUGGGGAGCGAACAGGAUUAGAUACCCGGGUAGUC
rnacentral:rRNA from 1 species